rnacentral:rRNA from 1 species
CUUGCUUCUCUUGAGAGCGGCGGACGGGUGAGUAAUGCCUAGGAAUCUGCCUGGUAGUGGGGGAUAACGUUUGGAAACGGACGCUAAUACCGCAUACGUCCUACGGGAGAAAGCAGGGGACCUUCGGGCCUUGCGCUAUCAGAUGAGCCUAGGUCGGAUUAGAUAGUUGGUGAGGUAAUGGCUCACCAAGGCGACGAUCCGUAACUGGUCUGAGAGGAUGAUCAGUCACACUGGAAUUGAGACACGGUCCAGACUCCUACGGGAGGCAGCAGUGGGGAAUAUUGGACAAUGGGCGAAAGCCUGAUCCAGCCAUGCCGCGUGUGUGAAGAAGGUCUUCGGAUUGUAAAGCACUUUAAGUUGGGAGGAAGGGCAGUUACCUAAUACGUGAUUGUUUUGACGUUACCGACAGAAUAAGCACCGGCUAACUCUGUGCCAGCAGCCGCGGUAAUACAGAGGGUGCAAGCGUUAAUCGGAAUUACUGGGCGUAAAGCGCGCGUAGGUGGUUAGU